rnacentral:misc_RNA from 1 species
GAGGAAAAAUAGACACUUACUUGAAGUUGCUAGAUCUCUUAUGUUUACUAUGAAUAUUCCUAAACCUUACUAGGGGGAUGCUAUUCUUUUUGCUGCAUAUCUUAUUAACAGCAUGCCACUUCAAACAUUGGAGUUUAAGAGUUCAUUGAAGGUUUUGCAUGGUAAAAAUUCAUAUACUGUCCCUCCAAAGGUCUUUGGGUGUGUCUGCUUUGUUCACAAGCUUAAUAGUAGGAAAUUAGAAUCUCGGGCUCUCAAGUGUAUCUUUGUUGGUUAU